AGCACUGCAGCGUGGAGUAGCAUAAUGUACUCAGGAACCUGCAUGUUGCUGAACAGGAAUGAGGGCCAGGGGUGGGAAGCAUAGCAGGAAAUGAGGCAAAGGCAUGGUGAGGAGACAAGCCAUGAAGGACAUUCUGUGUUAAACUAGAAGUUUGAUCUUUAUUCUGAAGAAUAUGGGAGCUCAUUCAAGGAGUUUAAAAGCAGCUUUUUUUCUCAUGAUGGACUGCUCGCAACUUAAAGCCAAUACAGAGACCAGUGCUGGUGUCCUUCACGAGGGCCAGCCUCAGGGCCUCCAGUAAAGGAGAAUAAUCGGGAUCAGCUCACAGGAGUCAUUGUAAAAGGGGGAGAGCACUCAAGUGUCCCUGCCUUUUAAAAAUUUUAUUGGAAUAUAAGCUUUGACAAAGUA